AAUACUCGUUGUGAAGAGGCCCUUUUUCUCCAAGAUGAGCUUAGAUCAUGGCUACAAUUCAUGCUAUGCCUAUGGAAGGAGUAUAAACUGUCUUACUUACCCUUUCCUAUGAAGAUUUCAAUGUCAAAUGAGCAGUAGGCUUAAAGAAAGCAACAAUACAACAGAAAUUACACGUUCUAGCCCCAUAUCUUCUUUUAUCCCUUAGUAAUUCCUCAUUGUCACUAGCCAUUUCUUUCUGUUCAUUGGCAAUUUUCUGUUGGACUACAACAACAUUUUGUCGCUUAGGAUUGUAAACAUGUCAACAAUUCUUAUUAGUAUGUCCUAUCUCCUCACAAUUAUAUAACUUAGAGCUUUUAAACAUCAUAGGUUGGGAUGGUUAGGUUGGUGUAACAGUUGGUUGAAACUUGAAAGGCCAUUUCUCAUUGAGUCCAUAUAUUUGUUCGUUUUCUUAGCUUCCCUUGCAUAUGUUAUGGCUUGAUCUACAGAAGAAAACUCCUUAUCCUUUAAAUCUAUUCAGUUUCCAUGCUUAAUCCCACCAAGAUACUUUGUGAUGUAUUGUUGAAGUACCUCCUCAAAAGUCAAAUUAUACCAAGCAAUUGUAUAUCAACGUCCUUGCCAUGCUGAAUAAGGCACACAACUUGGAGUACAAUUCCCUUUCAUAACGAACGAGAAUAAACUUUUCCUCCAAGUGUCCUAGCAUGCCUAAUCAAUAAUAGGCAAUUGUCAUUGAACAUAGCAUUGCUGUGCAAGACUAUGCCAUCAUGUG
rnacentral:misc_RNA from 1 species